UGGAGUGCUGCUGACUGAUGGACUCCCUCCAAACCAAGAUGUGGAUCCAGGGCUCGUGCAAGUGUGAAAUGAGAGAAGCAACUGCCAAGAGGGAGGAAGGCAGAGAGGACUGCACAGGUCUCCUGUUUUCCACCCCGAGGGAGUCGCUCGCAGUGGACCAUAACUCAAGAAGCAGUGUGGAAGCAAAGUCAUCAAAUACACAGCACAGCAACAGCCCCCAGGAUGUGUGGUGAGUUUUUGCCCGUACAACCAUCAAAAAAGAGCAGAAAGCUUCUGAAAUUUGGCUUGCAAUCCCAAAGAGCACCAUCCUAU